AGCGAAGAAGGAAAGAGGAUCGAUCGAAACUACGGCGCCGGCGUCGCGACGCCAUUGCGCGAGAUUUUGCUGCGCCUAUCGCGACUCUGUACAUAUAGAUAUGCCCACAGCUACAGAAAACUACGUUCGAACGUAUAUAUUUAAGGGGUAUAGAUCGACGUUCGCAAAACUAUAUACACGUGCAAUAAACCUUUUUUCUGUAUUCUCUCGCACUGUGUAUGUCGAAAGUCCAAUGCGAAAUAAGUGUGGAGGUGGCCUGCUGCGGAAAAGCACAAUGCGAGGCAGUCAGCUAAGGAGGAAAACUGCCCACGGAGUGGGGAAUCGUCACGUGCGCUUCGCAGGGCCGCACAAACGCCGAAAUUUCGAAUGGAGACGAUUUCCCCUCGUUUCGGAGUCCCAACCAUUCUCCGGAGGAUUCCGAUGAAACUGGGAGCGACCAACCCUUUCGGGAUACUCGAACAUGGGCGCGGUCCUACACUUGGAACGAUACCUGUUUGACUCCUCGAACAGCUGAUUAAAAUGUCUGCGAUUCUGACAGCAGAGUCUUCGUCAUUACAGCGAUCUCCGUACAUUCGAACCGGAGCUUUCAUUUCCCAAAUUAUUUAUGCCCUGUGCGAUUCUAAUAAGCGCAGUGAACGAAUCGUCGUUGCUGUUUCAAACUCCGUUUUAAAGACAUUCCGUUUUUAAAGGAUUUCUCACUAUAGACGAGCUUAAAAUGAGAGCUCAAAUUUAAUUGAAAUUCAUCUCGAAAUUCACCUCGAAAUUCAUUUCGAAUUCAAUGAAAAUAAGUUCACGCACAAUUGAAUUGUAAUUAAAAUUGAAGGGAAGUUAGAAUUUGAAAUACGAAAAUAAAAUUAAAGCAAAAAUUUUAUUACUCAUAGCCAUUUACCUAUUGAAUCUAAAACCACUUUUUUUCUCUUCGAUCAGCCGUUCCAGAGAUUAUAUCAACAGCGCACACCCAUCUUUUUGUGGGCCCGCCUUCUCCUCCAUUUUUCUGUAUACGAAAACUGAGUAAAAUCAAUACAAAAACCA